GUCAAGCUGGAUAGCUCAGUAGAUUAGAGCAUGGUGUUGAUAAUGCCAAGGUUUGCAGGUUCGAUUCUCCGUAAGCGACA